rnacentral:lncRNA from 1 species
AGACCUUGCGUAACCGGGAUAUUGCCAAAUAGCUGCAGCUCCACAGAUCUGUAAUUUAUGCCUAUUCUCAUCCAAGAUGUCUGUUUUGAGAGUUCAUUGGACUUGAGGUCAGGCCUGCUGCAAAUUUGAUGACUUGAAGAGAAUGAAUUUGGUGGAAAGAAACGCGUGCAAAUACUGCAUUUACUGAUUGCUGUUUUACUAAUGCAGUCUUGACUAAUACAGCAGGAGGAAGCUGAAUCCCCACUGAUGAGACCAGACUGCUGUGGAUGGCAGCUCUCUGGACUUAAGAGCAAAAGUUUGAAAGAAUUUCUUGUCUGGACGUUGAAAAUAACAUUUGGAUCUGGGCUUCUUUCUGGUGACCCAGGCUGCUUUUUCCCCCAGAUAUACUGCACUUAUGUGGCUGUCAGUAGAAGCUUGAUGGUUGCUAGUAAUACAGUUCAGAAUUUGUCACGGCUGGCAAAACAUGGAGGAGAGCUGAGCAGAGAGUUUUUACCUGCGGAGAAGGGACCACUCAAGCAUCAUCCUCAUGGAUGGAAAUGUUCCAGUUCUGGCUUGAUGGGAGGAAAAGUGUGCAUCCAGCCUAUCAAACUGAGAAUGCUGAAUUGUUCUGCAUUUCAAAAUAGAGAGCUGACUUUGGAUAAUUGGUGUCUCAGUCAUUAGGCCAGGAAGUGUCGUCAUCCUGCUG